CUUCCUCCUGCCUGCGCCCAGAGUCUUCACAGCAUGCCGAUGGCAAGGACCAGUGACCCCGGGAGCUCGGCUGUCACCUCCCUCUGCCAUUGCAGCACCUCACUUUCCCAGGGCAGUUACAAGGAAUGAACAGCUCAUGGGAUUGCUUUUCCUCGAGUCUGAUGGAACGUGCCAGCUGCACACUCACUCUCGGGGCUCCCUUCCCGCUUCAGACCACAGGAUUUGUCUACAGAUCCAAACCAAUGGGUCGGACUGAGGACCAAAGCCCUGCUUGAACAGUGACAAAUCCAUACUCCUAGAGGACACAUGAGAACGGGACUGUCCCUACGCCGAGUGACAUCAUCAUUCCCCUGUGGGGGAGAGACAGCACAAAAGCCAUCCUUGUAAUGAUGCCACACACAGGCACACGCACAUUCUGCAAGCUCACAGGGGGCUGACUGGAGAAGUCUGGCUUCUGGUGUGCUGGCUACAAGUGCUGCCUGCCUUACCGGCUUCCUAGUUGGGUUCUCUCAAACUGCCCAACCCCCAAAUUAUACAAGAACAGCCUAGCCCAACCCUGGGUUCUGAUCCCAGGCAGGGAAAUGCGUUUGUAACAGCCCAGGCGUGGGACUACUAACCCAGCUGGGGCAGCACAAUUAGCGUUCUGCCCUGAUAAACAUCAGAGUCAUUUGCCUACCAGAUCCAGGGCUAUUAUCUAAUAAUGGGUUCUAGUAGCUCAAAUCUGACGGGCGUGUGUGUGUGUGUGUGUGUGUGUGUGUGUGUGUGUGUGUGUGUGUGUGUUUCAGAAGAGAAAAUGGGAACCUAGGGGAAAAGGGCAGUUGUGAACUAGUCCUUUGGUGGGAGCUUGUGGGUGGAAUCAUGUAUAAGGAUUUAAACAAACAGAAUGCAUCACUAUGGAAACAACCGGUUUUUUUUUCAAAGGAACCGUUAAAAAAUAAAGUAAUCAAGACUUCAGAUUCAACACUCCAAGUGUUUAUGACCAGAAAAGGCAAAGUGGGUCUUAGAUACUCUGCCGCCAAGAAAAAGCUGCCAGAACUCAAGGAAGAAAUAUUCCCAGCAGAGCAGGAACCCAUCAUCUGUCAGGCUUUCCCCUGAAGCCCUCACAGGCCAGCAUUCUGCUCACUGCAGGCCGACUUAACUCUUUCAGGGUUGCUGUGACAUGGCUCAGCAGCCUGGGCGCUUUCCCGAUGGGAUCCAGACAGACCUGCUGUGCACCAGAGCUGAGCCAAGGCAGCCGAGGUAGCAAAAAGGGAGUCUAAGGGACAUUCCUGGAUGAGCUGUGACCCAAAUGUGCUAGAGACCACCAGCUGGGCUAGUGGACCUGGACCAGAGCAGACUCCCAUUUCUGCACCGUGUCACACUGUUCGCUCGCGUGCCUGGAGGCUCGUUCCAUUUCUGGGGUAAAGCCCGGCGCACCCGUCUGCUGACUGGAGCGGUGAUGCUGUUACGACGCCUCACACUUAGUUUGGACAUCACCAGGGUUCCCGCAUGUCCUCAAAGAUGACAGGACAAACAGUAGGGGAAAAUUCACCCAUCUGUGAAAGUUCUGAGGCACAUCUGCUUAGAUACGGUUAGGAGCCACUUGCUAGGGACGUUGCCCAAGCCUGUUUCUAAAUUCACCGCACCCAACCCCCGCCAAAAUGAGUUUCCCCAGUUUAAUGGCACUGUGAGUUUAGUGAGCCACAGCUUCUGACAAGAUGCUGGUGUUAGCUAAGGAGAAAUGUGAUGCAGGCAUCUGCCCUGAUGCACAAAGCAAUCAGGGGACAUAAAGGCCGCCUGCAGCUGGCUCUGGUCAGCUCCGCUGGAGCGAGGGCCUCAGAGGAUUCCACCUCAGUUCAGCAUGGAGGAGAAAGGGGAAACCAGCUUUGGAAUUAGCCUUUGAAAUUUGUCUCUGCCGGCACAAGUGCUGCUAAAAUACUUCUUAGGGACUCAGCUUCUUGUCUCCACAGCAAAAUCAGUCUGAGGAAGAAGAGACGGCAACUAGAAACUCGUAGGACGGCCUGCAGGCAACCAAAGCUCACAGAGGGCAACUAAAACGAAACCUGCGUCUCAUGCUCAGCUGCAUACUGGCUGUCUGGCGUGCUUUGUGCCAGCAAACAGCUUUGUCUCAGUUCCUGGGAGCUGCAAAUGGCUGGUGUGGAGACAGCACUGUCUUCCCAGGUAGGACUGCCUGGGGUGGAGACAGGAGCACGCCGCCUUCUCUCUAUUCAGAGGCCUGUAGCCCCAGUGUGCCCCAGGAAGACUGACAGCUGGGAGGUUCAGCUGAAUAAACAGUGUCCCUGAACAUGCAGCUUUCCAUUACAAUAACACACAAACCAAGAUGUUAAGGAGUCAAGGAAGACUUCAACAAAGCCCAAAGAAGCCACCUCUGUUUGGGUUUCAGCAGCUGUCUGCCUGUGGAAGGCUCCAGAGUCACUGACAUGUAUUUAUAUCUCCAUUUUGCUAACGUCAUAAGGAACAAACAUGUUCAGAUCUUCCUCAGAGGCACAAGGCCAUUUGUAUUUCUUCAAAUUAAAGGGGGGAGGGCAGGAGGAAAAGAGCUGAUGGACCGAAUCAUCUGUGAGCACAGUCAUAGCAGUGUUUAAUUUGCCUAAUGAUAACCCUUGAUUUAGAGAUUUGUCUCGAAGUAGACAUGCUGGCAACAGGAAGCGCUGGUGGCUCUCCUUCAGAAGGACAAGGACCUGCCUGUGAGGCAAACACCACAGUCUCCCAACAGCCACAGGACGACGAGAGUGCAGAGCUGUUUCUGAAAGUGCUUCCAGGAGCGGGGGAGGGGGUGCACAGCCCCCACCUCAGUGGCUGGCAACUUUGCAGACGUUGCCCAUCACCAGGCUGCUCCUCUGGGCUCUGGAUAAAUGGUCCGAAAGGUUAGGUUUACUCUCCGUUCUCUGGAAUGGUAUUCCUUGGGCACUCGGUGCUAAAUGGAAAUAUUAAUAGUUGUCCGGCAUAAAUAUACAUGCAUUUUUUAGUUCACUGUGA